AGCGAACGCUGGCGGCAGGCUUAACACAUGCAAGUCGAACGCCCCUUCGGGGGAGUGGCAGACGGGUUAGUAACGCGUGGGAACGUGCCCUUUGGUUCGGAAUAUUCUCGGGAAACUGAGAGCAAUACCGGAUAAGCCCUACGGGGGAAAGAUUUAUCGCCAAAGGAGCGGCCCGCGUCAGAUUAGCUAGUUGGUAGGGUAAUGGCCUACCAAGGCUACGAUCUGUAGCUGGUCUGAGAGGAUGAUCAGCAACACUGGGACUGAGACACGGCCCAGACUCCUACGGGAGGCAGCAGUGGGGAAUAUUGGACAAUGGGCGAAAGCCUGAUCCAGCCAUGUCGCGUGGAUGAUGAAGGCCUUAGGGUUGUAAAAUCCUUUCACCGGAGAUGAUAAUGACAGUAUCCGGAGAAGAAGCCCCGGCUAACUUCGUGCCAGCCGCCGCCGUAA
rnacentral:rRNA from 1 species